ACCUGACAUUUUCUUCAGAUACCUUAGAAGGGGAAACAAAAUGUAAAACAUCCCUAUCUUGUUGUAUGUCAUUUUUUUAAAGUGACAGCUGAUUACGUUUUAGGGAUGUUUUCUCAUUUUCUGAAUUAAAUCAGUUUGGCAUUCUGUAGCAGAUAGUACUCAUUAACCUUUUAAGGAUUGCCAAACUGCUUUGAAGCAUUUGUGGAAAAAUGAAGAAAGAAAAAAAAAAAAGAAAAGAAAAAAGUUAAACAUCACAGACAUAACCUGGUGCUUUUUGAAGCUACAGUCAGCAAGGACCUGGUCUUCUCCUUGUAGUAACUUAAUAGGUGUGACGCUUGUUUGUGUUCUGUUUAAGUAGGCUUGAAGAGGGUACUGUCUAUGAACAAAACUUGUGACAUACAUGUAUGUAUGAAUUAUAUUUAUUACCUGAACAGACUUUGAUGUUUACAUUGAUUCAAAUUUUUGUAAUUAAUGACUUCAUAUUUAUUCUUCCAGAUGACGGGAAUAGAAAAUGAAAGUUUUCUUUCUAAGCCUCAGUGAACAUGCACAGCAGAAGCCAGGAAGAAAAGAACGGCUUGAUUUUAAAUCACCACUGUGACAAAUUUGGGGAUCUGAAGCACUGGCAAAAUUUCACACCGCUUGUCUCCAGCCGCUGCCGUGGGAUGUGACCAGGGCACGGCGCUUCCUUGCAGAGCUCGGGUUCUUGCUCAUUUUGAAAACAUUUUCCUCUUUUCUAUGUUCCUG
rnacentral:lncRNA from 1 species